ensembl:lncRNA FAM86DP family with sequence similarity 86 member D, pseudogene
GGCCCCGCCCACGUCAUGGCGCCCGAGGAGAAUGCGGGGACCGAACUCUUGCUGCAGAGUUUCGAGCGCCGCUUCCUGGCGGCGCGCACGCUGCGCUCCUUCCCCUGGCAGGGGGGCGGCGGGCGAGCGGAGAGGCCCGCGGGGCUCGCGGGAGUCCAGGGGCAGACGGGAUGGGUCUCCGUGCUGAAACCCCCGGCGCUCCUGCCACAGCUUAGAAGCAAAGUUAAGAGACUCAUCAGAUUCUGAGCUGCUGCGGGAUAUUUUGCAGAAGACGUGCUGUAUUGCCCAGAAGCCAUCGUGUCGCUGGUCGGGAUCCUGCGGAGGCUGGCUGCCUGCUGGGAGCACCAGCAGUCUCCUGAGGUCUACGUGGCCUUUACCGUCCACAACCCAGAGACGUGCCAGCUGUUCACCACCGAGCUAGGCCUGUCCUAGCAGCCCCACACAAAACGCUCACGUCCUGUCCCCAAACACCGCCAUCCUCAAGCACGUGCUCUGUUUCCAGGCCGGGCUGGGAUCAUAUGGGAAGCGGAAGCUCAUCAUGACCAGAAACUGUUUCCCUAUGGAGAGCACUUGGAGAUGGCAAUGCUGAACCUCACACUGUAGGACUCACACACGACUCCAACGGGAUUGUGAGAAUCAAGUCAAUCUCAUGGGAAGAAUUUUUAUAUGGGAAAGCGGAUAAAACUUUCAUUGUACUGGAAUGUUUGGAGAAUGUUAAAUUCCAAAUCAGAAACCACAAACUGCCCUCUAAUAAGACAUCGGCUAUCUAAG